rnacentral:rRNA from 1 species
UACGGAGGGUGCAAGCGUUGUCCGGAUUUAUUGGGUUUAAAGGGUGCGUAGGCGGUUAACUAAGUCAGUGGUGAAAGGCAGCAGCUUAACUGUUCGCACUGCCAUUGAUACUGGUUGACUUGAGUACAGACGAGGUAGGCGGAAUUUAUGGUGUAGCGGUGAAAUGCAUAGAUACCAUAAAGAACACCGAUUGCGAAGGCAGCUUACUAGACUGUAACUGACGCUGAGGCACGAAAGCGUGGGGAUCGAACAGG